GGUUGCGGAAGUGGGUAAUCCCCACAGUGAGAAUGGAGAGCGCGUGUGUGAGUGAAUGAUGAGUGUUUGUCUGUCUGUCUCUCUGUUAUAACCUACACAGUGAUCUUAUUUGAUCCGACCUGAGUUGGGCUCUGCUCCGGUCGGAGAUGAUAGGAAAAGCGCCCUGCAGCCUCCGUGGCGGUGAGCAGCCGGCGAGAAACAACCCUCACAGGGCCUCCACGCUUCGUGCUGUGGUCAGAAGUGAUGAAUUGAUCAGAUAUACUAGUUCUGGUUGGGCCCGAGCUUUGCUUCGGGCCUCACGAUGGACAAUGAGUCCAGAGGCGAUUCUGAUCUCA
ensembl:snoRNA